UUAAGCGACUAAGCGUACACGGUGGAUGCCCUGGCAGUCAGAGGCGAUGAAGGACGUGCUAAUCUGCGAAAAGCGUCGGUAAGGUGAUAUGAACCGUUAUAACCGGCGAUGUCCGAAUGGGGAAACCCAGUGCAAUUCGUUGCACUAUCGUUAACUGAAUACAUAGGUUAACGAGGCGAACCGGGGGAACUGAAACAUCUA
rnacentral:rRNA from 1 species